UUCCUAGGCAUUCACCAUAGACUCUUAUUACUUUGACCAUAUUUUUAUCUUYCAUCUCUAUUUUGCCAAUUUGUUUAUACAACAUAGAAUAAUAUAUAUCUUUGUUUAAUCCAUGUCAAUAUAUAUUUUAUUUUUUAUAUUAUUUGAAUAAAACAUUCAAAAACAUGAACAUCUAAAAACAUAAAAAAUAAAAUCAAUGUUUAAAGUAUAAAACAAAAACCCUGGCAACAACUUACUCUCCCGCGAACUCGCAG
rnacentral:misc_RNA from 1 species